AGCGGCGGAUGGGUGAGUAACACGUGGGGAACCUGCCCCUAAGUCUGGGAUACCAUUUGGAAACAGGUGCUAAUACCGGAUAAUAAAGCAGAUCGCAUGAUCAGCUUUUGAAAGGCGGCGUAAGCUGUCGCUAAGGGAUGGCCCCGCGGUGCAUUAGCUAGUUGGUAAGGUAACGGCUUACCAAGGCGACGAUGCAUAGCCGAGUUGAGAGACUGAUCGGCCACAUUGGGACUGAGACACGGCCCAAACUCCUACGGGAGGCAGCAGUAGGGAAUCUUCCACAAUGGACGCAAGUCUGAUGGAGCAACGCCGCGUGAGUGAAGAAGGUUUUCGGAUCGUAAAGCUCUGUUGUUGGUGAAGAAGGAUAGAGGUAGUAACUGGCCUUUAUUUGACGGUAAUCAACCAGAAAGUCACGGCUAACUACGUGCCAGCAGCCGCGGUAAUACGUAGGUGGCAAGCGUUGUCCGGAUUUAUUGGGCGUAAAGCGAGCGCAGGCGGAAAAAUAAGUCUAAUGUGAAAGCCCUCGGCUUAACCGAGGAACUGCAUCGGAAACUGUUUUUCUUGAGUGCAGAAGAGGAGAGUGGAACUCCAUGUGUAGCGGUGGAAUGCGUAGAUAUAUGGAAGAACACCAGUGGCGAAGGCGGCUCUCUGGUCUGCAACUGACGCUGAGGCUCGGAAGCACGGGUAGCGAACAGGAUUAGAUACCCUGGUAGUCCAUGCCGUAAACGAUGAGUGCUAAGUGU
rnacentral:rRNA from 1 species